UGAGGAAUAUUGGUCAAUGGGCGCAAGCCUGAACCAGCCAUGCCGCGUGCAGGAUGACGGUCCUAUGGAUUGUAAACUGCUUUUGUACGAGAAGAAACACUGAUUCGUGAAUCAGCUUGACGGUAUCGUAAGAAUAAGGAUCGGCUAACUCCGUGCCAGCAGCCGCGGUAAUACGGAGGAUCCAAGCGUUAUCCGGAAUCAUUGGGUUUAAAGGGUCCGUAGGCGGUCUUGUAAGUCAGUGGUGAAAGCCCAUCGCUCAACGAUGGAACGGCCAUUGAUACUGCAGGACUUGAAUUAUUGGGAAGUAACUAGAAUAUGUAGUGUAGCGGUGAAAUGCUUAGAUAUUACAUGGAAUACCAAUUGCGAAGGCAGGUUACUACCAAUUUAUUGACGCUGAUGGACGAAAGCGUGGGGAGCGAACA
rnacentral:rRNA from 1 species